CCUGUUAAGUCAGAUGUGAAAGCCCGGGGGCUUUAAACCUCGGGAAUUUGCAUUUGAAACUGGCAGGCUAGAGUCUUGUAGAGGGGGGUAGGAAUUUCAGGUGUAGCGGUGAAAUGCGUAGAGAUCUGAAGGAAUACCAGUGGCGAAGGCGGCCCCCUGGACAAAGACUGACGCUCAGAUGCGAAAGCGUGGGGAGCCAAACAGGAUUAGAUACCCUGGUAG
rnacentral:rRNA from 1 species